CUCUGAAGCUCAGCUCACCCUGGUCUCCACAGAAGGAGGGAGUCACCCUCCUCUGGGCCCCUGAAUUCUAAUUCCUUCUUUCCAAAGCGAAAAACAGGUGUCUCGGUCUCUGAGCAAUUGGUCGGAUUCUAGGGAUCCCAGAGCAAGGCCACGAUGUCAAAGGCGGGGGAAGACGCCACCUGCACCUCCUACUGGGGAGAAACAUAAGUGAAGAGACACGUUGAAGGAUGGGAAAAGAUACCGGUGACAGCAAGGGAAACUAAAGAAAAAUAUAAAGAUACAGAGUGAUUGGUCCUCAUUCUGACUCCCCUGUUCUGCUGACCAGAUUCCCAUGGCUGGAUAAGUGUUCAAGGACUGCGUAGAGAUGUGAGGUUAAGGGAUCUGCAGUAGAGAGGGUCAUCCUGUGAAUAUGGCUUUCCCAAAAUUUAGGAGAAACACCUGGUGACUUUAUCUCGCCAGGCCUGGAGACUGCUGGCUUCUCUGUUUAGUGAGCGGGAUAAAUACUCCCCCUUCUCUCCCCCUUUCCCCAAGACGGCUGACUUCUUUGUUUAGCAGCAGACUGGCUUAUGGUUGGAUGCAAACACUCAGGGCGAUAAGAACAGUCAUAAAUCUAGAGGCACAGAACAGUCAGAGGCAUGUGCUGACCACAAGACUCACAUACCGUUUUGUCGUUCAUCGCCGGAUUGGUCAAGAACAACAGCUGAUGUCUGCGGACCUCUGGGGCUGCACGUAGCUGCAUUCUGUUCCCAGCCUUCACUCACCCCAUCCCCCUUUCUAACCCCAUCCCUGGCACCAUGCUGUGAGACAGGUUUUGGCCACUUGUAAGGCCCCUGUCUUCUUGCUUGGCUGGCCUUCUCAAUAAACCC